GACGAACGCUGGCGGCGUGCUUAACACAUGCAAGUCGAACGGAAAGGCCUGCUUUCCCUUGUGGAUUGCGGGUACUCGAGUGGCGAACGGGUGAGUAACACGUGAGUGAUCUGCCCCCAACUUGGGUAUAAGCCUGGGAAACUGGGUCUAAUUCCCGAUAGGACUGCAGGGUGGUGCCUGUGGUGGAAAACGAUUUUCUAGUGGUUGGGGAUGAGCUCGCGGCCUAUCAGCUUGUUGGUGGGGUAAUGGCCUACCAAGGCGGCGACGGGUAGCCGGCCUGAGAGGGUGGACGGCCACAUUGGGACUGAGAUACGGCCCAGACUCCUACGGGAGGCAGCAGUGGGGAAUAUUGCACAGUGGGCGGAAGCCUGAUGCAGCGACGCCGCGUGGGGGAUGACGGCCUUCGGGUUGUAAACUCCUUUCGACCGAGAGGAAGCCACCUGGUUGGAAGGGUGGUGACGGUAGUGGUAGAAGAAGCACCGGCUAACUACGUG
rnacentral:rRNA from 1 species